AUGCAGCAAGAGUUAGUCCAGCAUGAUGAGGCAGACCUGGUGGCACAAAGCCCAUGCAACCGACCUGAUUCAGUGGACUCUGAGGAGGAAGGAGAUCAUGCCAAUGAAAACGAAGGAAAGGUAACAGAGUUUUCUGACUGGAUCCGUCUGAAACCAAUGGAGAAGUGGUCACUGGUGCAUGACACGAAGGGAGCUAGGUACGGCAUCAUGGGCGCUGAUAUAUCAAAUAUAUACAAGAAUGACCCUGUAUUGAAAGGGAUAACAUGCCUUCCGCUCAGUGCGAUAGUGGAGGUGACAUUUCUGCGCUUGGUAGAGCACUUCAAAAACACAAGUGCUGCAGCAAAUGAAGCAAUUGGCAACCCAUCAAUGAACUUCCCUGAACGGGUCCAGGAUGACAUGAAUUCAAAAAUGCAGAAAUCCAAGAUGCAUUGCGUGAUUUGCCUAGACACCAAAACAAGAAAUGUUUUCCAGGGGAAAGAGUUUCGGAAUUUUACAGUUCAGUAG
rnacentral:rRNA from 1 species